GUGUCAGAAACAAAUUCACUGGUGCUCUAGAUAUUUACCAAUGAUUGACUAACCUAAUAUUCAGAAAGAACCUACAGUAAUGUAAACCUCCUGCAAAAUCCAUGAGAUAAAUGAAGACUUCCAGCACUGGAAACAGCAGGUUUUUGGCAAUCUGACCUAGUGUUCUACUAUUCUUACCCAUACCUGGGAUAUCCCACACUUGUUCACAUGCAGAAGCACUUGUAGAAGAAAGCCAUUCCUGGAGAAACACAGAAUCUUUGUCUCCACACAUGGCUGCUCCUCACCCUGGAGACAGUGACCUUCAUACCAGCAUACCGUAUUCUGGGCUGCAUCAAAAGAAGCAUGACCAGCAGGUCCAAGCAGGUGAUCCUGCCCCUCUACUCUGCUCUUGUGAGACCUCACUUGGA